CUUUCUCUCUCCUUCCAUUCUGAAUGAUAACCUUGCCAAGUAGAGUAUUCUUGGCUGUAGAUUUUUCCCUUUCAGCUCUUUAAAUAUAUCAUGUCACUCCCUUCUAGCCAGUAAGGUUUCUGCUGAGAAGUCGGCUGAUAGCCUUAUGGGAUUUCCUUUGUACGUCACUUGUUGCUUUUCUCUUGCAGCUUUUAGGAUUCUCUCUUUAUCUUUAAUUUUGGACAUUUUAAUUAUAAUGUAUCUUGGUGUGGGUCUCUUUGGGUUUAUCUUGUUUGGGGCUCUCUGUGCGUCUUGUACCUGGGUGUCUGUUUCCUUCCUUAGGUUAGGAAAAUUUUCAGCUAUUAUUUCUUCAAAUAGAUUCUCUGUCCCUUUGCCUCUCUCUUCUCUGUCUGGGAUAUCUAUAAACAGAUGUGGGUGUGCUUGAUGUUGUCCCAGAGUUCCCUUAGACUGUUCUCAUUGUUUUAAAUUCUUUUUUCUUUAUCUGUUCAGCCAGGGUGAUUUCCUCUAGACUUUAGUCCAGUUCACUGAUCUAUUUUUCUGUAUCAUAUACUCUGCUAUUGAGUCCCUCUAGUGAACUUUUCAUUCCCAGUAUUGUAUUCCUCAUCUCUGAUUGGUUCUUUUUUUAUAUUUUCCAAUUGUUUGUUGACGUUCUCAUUGUGUUCAUCCAUUCUGCUCCCAAGAUAAGUGAGCAUCCUUAUGAGUUUAUGUUUGAACUCUUUGUCCGAUAGAUGGUUUAUUUCUCUUUCAUUUAGUUCUUCUUCUGGGGUUUUUCCCUGUUCCCUUGCUCAGAAGGUAUUCCUUUGCCUCCUCAUUUUGCCUCUUUCUCUGUGCUUAUAUCUAUGUGUUAGGUGGGUCAGCUGUGUCUCCCAAUCUUGGAGAAGUGGCCUUAUGUAAGAAAUGCCUUUUGAGGCCCAGCAGUGUUCUUCCCUCUCCUCACCAGUUCCAAAUGUUCCAGGAAUGACCCCUCUGUGGGCUAUGUGUGUCCUUCUGUUGUGGCGGCAGUGUUGUUCUUGCUGCAGAUGCCCAAGGAGUCUAGGCUGUCCUCCAGGCUGGCUGGUUGUAAUGCUCAGCUGUGUGUGGCUGCUAUGGACCCUUCAGUCAGUUUAUCAUGUUUGGGGAGCCCCAGCAGAGUUGGCUACAAGGACUAAUAGCACAUUCCUGUUGCAGUUUUUCUGUUAAGUGAGUAGGCCCUCAGUGUGGCUGGUUGCUAGGCUCAGGGGCUGAAAAUUGCUGAAGCCCUCAGGCCUGCAAGGUGUUUUUCAGCUCCCUUAGGAUUACAGCUGAAUGGGGCUGACCCCAGGCACAGGAUCACCUAAUUGUUUCAGGCUUUGGAAGGUGGGGCCAAUCCCUACGUGGCUGUUUGAGAAGCACAGGUCUUCUGCCUCUGAUAAGCCCCAUGGCCCAAAGGUCCACACACACUGUCAACACAGUCCUGGCCCACACACACAUCUCAACCCCUGGAGCAUACCCAGUUACCCCACUGCAGAGGCCCCCCCCACACUACAUCAAUGCCCCACACAUUCCAGCCACUCCUCAUGCAGGCCCUGUUCUGCAGAGGUGGACCCACUCACCUGCUUGUAGAGGAUCCAGGCACCUAGCCUGAGGGCUUGCUGUUGGCUAGGGCCAGUCCCUGAGGUGGGCUGCCUGCCUGCCCUGGCUGAGCUGGAUUAAAUUGGUGCUCUAGUGGGUGUGGCAGACCCCUGGGCUAAUAGACCAGGGGAAGAACUCCAAUGGUGUCUGCCAGCAUCUGUGUCAGAGUGCCUUUACUAGGUCACAACAAUGGCUACUGCAAAUGUCUCAGUCCCCAGAGAGGACCCAUCUCUCACUGAGAUGCACCCAGAGCCUACCAGAUCUCUGGAGAUGGAGAUGCCAUCACGCUCCUUAGCAACACUUAAGACUACAGUCUGACAAGGCUAACAGCCCUGACUCCCAGGGCUCUUCUCUGUGUCCAAUCCAAGUUCUCGUUACAUUUCUUGGCCUUCAGGAGUGAUGUGCAUGUAUCAGCUGGCCUCUGUAAAACAACCAUCAUCCUUUUGAUGACCAGAUUCCUCAUUUUCAGGGUGCUCUGGUUUUUCAGAAAGAUAUUACUCUGGCAUUGAAAGGCAUGCUUCUCUGUGGUUGCUGAAUGAUCAGAAGUUCUGCAGAGAGGAUGGCUGUGAGAAAGUGUGGGCAGCUCCACUCCAGACAGGCCCCUGAAAUUUGGAAGCAGGGCCACUGAGGGGGAUAAAAGACAGAGUCUUUUGUCCUUGGACUUUCUAGUCAGUGGGACAGCUGUCAGACUUAGAAGAUGAGGGAGGGACCAUACCUAACAGCUUCUGAAGCAAAGCAGAGAAAAAUUCAGGAAUCGAGCCAAAUCUAGGAAAGAAGCCUCCUCUUUUGACCUCAAGACCAAAAAGAACCUUCUAGGAACAGGCAGAAAGGAGACAGCUGGGAAUCUUUCUGCUUACUGUAGCCAUGCAUAUGAAUAGUGAUUAAAAGACCAAGGUGUGGAAAUAAAAGAGGCUGGACCUGGCAGAGGACAAAUGAAACCCCAGAACUUCAACUCCUUCCGGUCCUUUUGGUCCUCAGACGCUGGUUGUUUUUCUCCUGCCACUCAAGGGUUUUCAGAAGAUUUGCUGACUAUGCUUUAGAAGGUCAUGGGGAAAGUUCUAUUUUUGGGGGACAGUAAACAUCACUCCGUCCACUGUGGAUGAGGUUCAUCCGUUUCCUGAUUAAUUGUUAUCAGUCUGUCGUGAUGACAGGUAUCACAUGCUAAUCCUAUACUAGUCGGUCAUGAGCUCAGGCUCAGAAAGACCCAUUGCCCUAGACAGGGGACUCCUGCCUGAAACUCCUUUCCUUCACAGCAGCGUAGGGCAAGGUGCCCUUGUCAUUUCUGACACGCUUCUUGGAGGGUGCGAGGAGGAGGCCUAGCUGGUCUUCCUGAGAGUUGGCUGUAAAGGAGAAGGGAGCCUGUGGGUGAUAGUGGUGAAGGGUAAGGGGACUAUGCUUAGGCAGGGUCCUGGGCGUAGGUGGCCUGAGCCCACUGUGAGCCCAUGCCGCUUGCCAGUGAGAUUUGGUGAUGCAGGUGAAAAGUUCAAAAGGAAAACAGAAGGUGGCAUGAAGAGGUUGCGUGUGUGUGAGUGUGUGUGUGUGUGUGAGUGUGUGGUCAAUUAAGAUUCCAAAUUUCUACCUAG
ensembl:lncRNA